rnacentral:rRNA from 1 species
UACGGGGGGGGCAAGCGUUGUUCGGAAUUACUGGGCGUAAAGGGCUCGUAGGCGGCCAACUAAGUCAUACGUGAAAUCCCUCGGCUUAACCUGGGAACUGCGUCUGAUACUGGAAGGCUUGAGUAUGGGAGAGGGAUGUAGAAUUCCAGGUGUAGCGGUGAAAUGCGUAGAUAUCUGGAGGAAUACCGGUGGCGAAGGCGGCAUCCUGGACCAUUACUGACGCUGAGGCGCGAAAGCGAGGGGAGCAAACGGG